rnacentral:rRNA from 1 species
UGGGGAAUAUUGCACAAUGGCGCAAGCCUGAUGCAGCCAUGCCGCGUGUAUGAAGAAGGCCUUCGGGUUGUAAAGUACUUUCAGCGGGGAGGAAGGCGAUAAGGUUAAUAACCUUGUCGAUUGACGUUACCCGCAGAAGAAGCACCGGCUAACUCCGUGCCAGCAGCCGCGGUAAUACGGAGGGUGCAAGCGUUAAUCGGAAUUACUGGGCGUAAAGCGCACGCAGGCGGUCUGUCAAGUCGGAUGUGAAAUCCCCGGGCUCAACCUGGGAACUGCAUUCGAAACUGGCAGGCUAGAGUCUUGUAGAGGGGGGUAGAAUUCCAGGUGUAGCGGUGAAAUGCGUAGAGAUCUGGAGGAAUACCGGUGGCGAAGGCGGCCCCCUGGACAAAGACUGACGCUCAGGUGCGAAAGCGUGGGGAGCAAACA